GACGAACGCUGGCGGCGUGCUUAACACAUGCAAGUCGAGCGGUAAGGCCCUUUCGGGGGUACACGAGCGGCGAACGGGUGAGUAACACGUGGGUGACCUGCCUUUAGCUCUGGGAUAAGCCUGGGAAACUGGGUCUAAUACCGGAUAUGACUCCAUGACGCAUGUUGUGGGGUGGAAAGCCUUGUGCGGCUAGGGAUGGGCCCGCGGCCUAUCAGCUUGUUGGUGGGGUGAUGGCCACCAAGGCGACGACGGGUAGCCGGCCUGAGAGGGCGACCGGCCACACUGGGACUGAGACACGGCCCAGACUCCUACGGGAGGCAGCAGUGGGGAAUCUUGCGCAAUGGGCGAAAGCCUGACGCAGCGACGCCGCGUGUGGGAUGACGGUCUUCGGAUUAGUAAACCACUGUCGGGAGGGACGGAAUACGCCGCAAGGCGGGUGACGGUA
rnacentral:rRNA from 1 species